GCGUAAGUGCAGGGGUGCUCCGCCGGAGCUGAGAUAGGCAAUUCGCCUGACCCUUCGAACCUGUUGGCCAACACCAGCGUAGGGAGCGCAUCAUGGACGAUC
rnacentral:ncRNA from 2 species